CGUUCUGUAAGCCUGUGAAGGUGUGCUGUGAGGCAUGCUGGAGGUAUCAGAAGUGCGAAUGCUGACAUAAGUAACGAUAAAGCGGGUGAAAAGCCCGCUCGCCGGAAGACCAAGGGUUCCUGUCCAACGUUAAUCGGGGCAGGGUGAGUCGACCCCUAAGGCGAGGCCGAAAGGCGUAGUCGAUGGGAAACAGGUUAAUAUUCCUGUACUUGGUGUUACUGCGAAGGGGGGACGGAGAAGGCUAUGUUGGCCGGGCGACGGUUGUCCCGGUUUAAGCGUGUAGGCUGGUUUUCCAGGCAAAUCCGGAAAAUCAAGGCUGAGGCGUGAUGACGAGGCACUACGGUGCUGAAGCAACAAAUGCCCUGCUUCCAGGAAAAGCCUCUAAGCAUCAGGUAACAUCAAAUCGUACCCCAAACCGACACAGGUGGUCAGGUAGAGAAUACCAAGGCGCUUGAGAGAACUCGGGUGAAGGAACUAGGCAAAAUGGUGCCGUAACUUCGGGAGAAGGCACGCUGAUAUGUAGGUGAAGUCCCUCGCGGAUGGAGCUGAAAUCAGUCGAAGAUACCAGCUGGCUGCAACUGUUUAUUAAAAACACAGCACUGUGCAAACACGAAAGUGGACGUAUACGGUGUGACGCCUGCCCGGUGCCGGAAGGUUAAUUGAUGGGGUCAGCGCAAGCGAAGCUCUUGAUCGAAGCCCCGGUAAACGGCGGCCGUAACUAUAACGGUCCUAAGGUAGCGAAAUUCCUUGUCGGGUAAGUUCCGACCUGCACGAAUGGCGUAAUGAUGGCCAGGCUGUCUCCACCCGAGACUCAGUGAAAUUGAACUCGCUGUGAAGAUGCAGUGUACCCGCGGCAAGACGGAAAGACCCCGUGAACCUUUACUAUAGCUUGACACUGAACAUUGAGCCUUGAUGUGUAGGAUAGGUGGGAGGCUUAGAAGUGUGGACGCCAGUCUGCAUGGAGCCGACCUUGAAAUACCACCCUUUAAUGUUUGAUGUUCUAACGUUGACCCGUAAUCCGGGUUGCGGACAGUGUCUGGUGGGUAGUUUGACUGGGGCGGUCUCCUCCUAAAGAGUAACGGAGGAGCACGAAGGUUGGCUAAUCCUGGUCGGACAUCAGGAGGUUAGUGCAAUGGCAUAAGCCAGCUUGACUGCGAGCGUGACGGCGCGAGCAGGUGCGAAAGCAGGUCAUAGUGAUCCGGUGGUUCUGAAUGGAAGGGCCAUCGCUCAACGGAUAAAAGGUACUCCGGGGAUAACAGGCUGAUACCGCCCAAGAGUUCAUAUCGACGGCGGUGUUUGGCACCUCGAUGUCGGCUCAUCACAUCCUGGGGCUGAAGUAGGUCCCAAGGGUAUGGCUGUUCGCCAUUUAAAGUGGUACGCGAGCUGGGUUUAGAACGUCGUGAGACAGUUCGGUCCCUAUCUGCCGUGGGCGCUGGAGAACUGAGGGGGGCUGCUCCUAGUACGAGAGGACCGGAGUGGACGCAUCACUGGUGUUCGGGUUGUCAUGCCAAUGGCACUGCCCGGUAGCUAAAUGCGGAAGAGAUAAGUGCUGAAAGCAUCUAAGCACGAAACUUGCCCCGAGAUGAGUUCUCCCUGACUCCUUGAGAGUCCUGAAGGAACGUUG
rnacentral:rRNA from 1 species